GAGAGCAUAGCUCAGUUGGUAGAGUACCAGGUUGUGGUCCUGGGCGUCGUGGGUUCGAUCCCCAUUGCUCUCCCCA
rnacentral:tRNA from 1 species